rnacentral:tRNA from 1 species
GGGAUUUAGCUCAGUGGCAUGAGCACCUGCCUGGCAAGCAUGAGGCCGUGAGUUCAGUUUUCUCACCCA